AUUGAACGCUGGCGGCAUGCCUUACACAUGCAAGUCGAACGGCAGCGGGGACUUCGGUCCGCCGGCGAGUGGCGAACGGGUGAGUAAUGUAUCGGAACGUACCUUUCAGUGGGGGAUAACGUAGCGAAAGUUACGCUAAUACCGCAUAUUCUCUGAGGAGGAAAGCAGGGGACCUUCGGGCCUUGUGCUGAUGGAGCGGCGGAUAUCAGAGUAGCUAGUUGGUGAGGUAAAGGCUCACCAAGGCGACGAUCUGUAGCGGGUCUGAGAGGAUGAUCCGCCACACUGGGACUGAGACACGGCCCAGACUCCUACGGGAGGCAGCAGUGGGGAAUUUUGGACAAUGGGCGCAAGCCUGAUCCAGCCAUGCCGCGUGAGUGAAGAAGGCCUUCGGGUUGUAAAGCCCUUUCGGACAGGAAGAAAUUGGUGGGGCUAAUAUCCCCAUCGGAUGACGGUACCGUAAUAAGAAGCACCGGCUAACUACGUGCCAGCCGCCGCAGUAA
rnacentral:rRNA from 1 species